rnacentral:rRNA from 1 species
UACGUAGGUGACAAGCGUUGUCCGGAUUUACUGGGCGUAAAGCGUGCGCAGGCGGUUCGUUGUGUCGGCGGUGAAAGCCCCGGGCUUAACCUGGGAAUGGCCGUCGAAACUGGCGAACUGGAGUGUGGCAGAGGGGGGUGGAAUUCCGCGUGUAGCAGUGAAAUGCGUAGAGAUGCGGAGGAACACCGAUGGCGAAGGCAGCCCCCUGGGCUGACACUGACGCUCAGGCACGAAAGCGUGGGGAGCAAACAGG